GGGGGCGUUUUGGAUUCGACGCCGGUUACAAAACCCAAUGUGCAUGCCGAGAUGGCGACCAAUCUCGUAAAUCCCCAGUCGCAAACUUAUAGUUGCCAACGACGACAACUACGCACUCGCUGCUUAAUACCCAGUAGGGUGCCGUCUGACCGGAGCCGUGCUUGUGCGUCCGGCGUCUCUUCGGAGACAUUCAGGCGUCGACUCUCACAAGCUCGCGAUGAAGCACGUCCGGUGUGGAUUCGCUAAAACCUUAUCCGGACUCGUAGCGAGUAUUCCCUGCCCGUCGGGUAGCCCGCUACUAAAGCCAAAGACGGAAUAAGCAUGUAGAUCAUAGGGCAGCGGACUGGCGGACGCGGGUUCAACUCCCGCCGCCUCCACCA
rnacentral:tmRNA from 1 species